ensembl:lincRNA
CUCAUUUGGAUUCUACUUUAGAAAAGGGAAACUGUUUUAAAAUAUAGGUGUGAUUAUUAUUUAGGCAUGGCAAAACCAACAGAUCAGGACACGACUGCCAUUGAAGAGACAGUUUGUCAUACUCACAGAUCCCAAGACGAGAGGAGACCACACAGAGAAGCACAAGUUAUUGUGGUUUCUGCUGCAAGGCACAGGUUUCCAGAGGGGCCCUCUAGAAGUGAACAGCAUGGAGCAGCCCCGCCAUCUUCAACCACUACCCAGAGAAUGGGAAGACCCUGGAGAAAGGAAAAGAAGGUGAGGAUAGAAGGGGCCAGUAGGGAUUGA